GCGAAGAUAGCUAAGUUUGGCCCACGGCGCCGGACUUGAAAUCCGGUGGUGUUUCACCUCGGGAGUUCGAAUCUCCCUCUUCGCGCCA
rnacentral:tRNA from 1 species